rnacentral:misc_RNA from 1 species
UCCGGUUUGUCACCGGCAGUCUCUGCAGAGUCCUCGGCUUUACCCGUUAGCAACAGCAGAUAAGGGUUGCGCUCGUUGCGGGACUUAACCCAACAUCUCACGACACGAGCUGACGACAGCCAUGCAGCACCUGUCUACGAACUCCGAAGAGGGCCUCGGCUUUCACCGAGGUUUCUCGUAGAUGUCAAGCCCAGGUAAGGUUCUUCGCGUUGCUUCGAAUUAAGCCACAUGCUCCACCGCUUGUGCGGGCCCCCGUCAAUUCCUUUGAGUUUCAUCCUUGCGAACGUACUCCCCAGGUGGGAUGCUUACCGCGUUAGCUUGGGCACUGCGCCUAUGAAUGGCGCAACGCCUAGCACCCAACGUUUACGGCUAGGACUAC